UGGGGAAUAUUGCACAAUGGGCGCAAGCCUGAUGCAGCAACGCCGCGUGAACGAUGAAGGUCUUCGGAUCGUAAAGUUCUGUUGCAGGGGAAGAUAAUGACGGUACCCUGUGAGGAAGCCCCGGCUAACUACGUGCCAGCAGCCGCGGUAAUACGUAGGGGGCUAGCGUUAUCCGGAUUUACUGGGCGUAAAGGGUGCGUAGGUGGUCUUUCAAGUCGGUGGCUAAAGGCUACGGCUCAACCGUAGUUAGCCUCCGAAACUGGAAGACUUGAGUGCAGGAGAGGAAAGUGGAAUUCCCAGUGUAGCGGUGAAAUGCGUAGAUAUUGGGAGGAACACCAGUAGCGAAGGCGGCUUUCUGGACUGCAACUGACACUGAGGCACGAAAGCGUGGGUAGCAAACAGG
rnacentral:rRNA from 1 species